GUGCUUGCUUUGUCAGCACAUAUAUUAAAAUUGGAAUUCUACAAAUAAGAUUAGUUUGGCCCCUGUGCAAGGAUGACACACAAACUUGUGAAGCAUCCAUACUUUUA